UACGUAGGAGGCAAGCGUUGUCCGGAAUCACUGGGCGUAAAGCGCGUGUAGGCGGAUCGCUAAGUCUGUGGUGAAAGCGCCUGGCUUAACCGGGUGAGGUCCAUGGAAACUAGCGGUCUGGAGGCCGGUAGAGGGGGGUGGAAUUCCGGGUGUAGUGGUGAAAUGCGUAGAGAUCCGGAGGAACACCAGUGGCGAAGGCGGCCCCCUGGGCCGCGCCUGACGCUGAGACGCGAAAGCGCGGGGAGCGAACGGG
rnacentral:rRNA from 1 species